GACGAACGCUGGCGGCGUGCUUAACACAUGCCAGUCGAACGGUAAGGCCCUUUCGGGGGUACACGAGUGGCGAACGGGGGAGUAACACGUGAGUAACCUGCCCUCAUCUCUGGGAUAACAGUCGGAAACGGUUGCCAAUACUGGAAAUGAGCUUGCAAGGCAUCUUGUGGGUUGGAAAGAUUUUUUUUGGUUGGGGAUGGACUCGCGGCCUAUCAGCUUGUUGGUGGGGUAGUGGCUCACCAAGGCUUCGACGGGUAGCCGGCCUGAGAGGGCGACGGGCCACAUUGGGACUGAGAUACGGCCCACAGUCCUACGGGAGGCAGCAGUGGGGAAUAUUGGACAAUGGACGGCAGUCUGAUGCAGCAACGCCGCGUGCGGGAUGACGGCCUUCGGGUUGUAAAACGCUUUGAAUUGUGACGAAGCUUUUUUGUGACGGUAGCAGUAGAAGAAGCACCGGCUAACUACGUG
rnacentral:rRNA from 1 species